UACGUAGGGUGCAAGCGUUGUCCGGAAUCAUUGGGCGUAAAGCGCGCGUAGGUGGCUUCGUAAGUCCGUUGUGAAAGUCAAAGGCUCAACCUUUGAAAGCCGAUGGAUACUGCGGAGCUAGAGUACGGAAGAGGCGAGUGGAAUUCCUGGUGUAGCGGUGGAAUGCGCAGAUAUCAGGAGGAACACCGGUGGCGAAGGCGGGUCUCUGGGCAGUAACUGACGCUGAGGAGCGAAAGCGUGGGGAGCGAACAGG
rnacentral:rRNA from 1 species